GCUGUGGACAGGGACCCAGACUUGCCGACCUGCACGACUCUGGCCAUGGGGAACAGCCACUGUGUCCCUCAGGCCCCCAGGAGGCUCCGGGCCUCCUUCUCCAGAAAGCCCUCGCUGAAGGGAAACAGAGAGGACAGCGCGCGGAUGUCGGCCGGCCUGCUGGGCCCCGAGGCUGCUCGAAGCGGGGACGCCGCCGCCAACAAGCUCUUCCACUACAUCCCGGGCACGGUGAGCGCGGCGUGCACGGUGGCUGUGGUCUGGGAGCGUGGCUCUGCCCGCGCGUGUGUGCCGCGUGUCCGUGCAGCUCAGGGUCUUCCCCUCGCCCCCGGGGCGUUCAGACCCCGGUAGGUGAGGAGCCGACGCUGACUGCCCCGCCCUGGGGAGCUCAUCCGGCCGAAAGUCUGAGCGGAGAGCGAAACCGCGACGCAGGACUGAGUCAGUCGGGAGCGAGCUGGGCGGGGCGGGCUGCGGGCGGGGCCUCCCGGGACCUCCUCCCGCAGGGGACCAGCGCACGUGUCUCUGUCGCUGCAGUGGGGCUUGGGGUCGUGCCGGUAGGUAGUGUCACUUGAGAGUAAGGGGCCUCAGAUGAGCAGUGAGCCAGCCGGUCACCUA
rnacentral:lncRNA from 1 species